CCUACGGGCGGCUGCAGUGGGGAAUAUUGCACAAUGGGGGAAACCCUGAUGCAGCAACGCCGCGUGAAGGAAGACGGUUUUCGGAUUGUAAACUUCUGUUCUUAGUGAAGAAUAAUGACGUUAGCUAAGGAGCACGCCACGGCUAACUACGUGCCAGCAGCCGCGGUAAUACGUAGGGGGCAAGCGUUAUCCGGAUUUACUGGGUGUAAAGGGAGCGUAGACGGCAGUGCAAGUCUGGAGUGAAAGGCGGGGGCUCAACCCCCGGACUGCUCUGGAAACUGUACGGCUGGAGUGAAGUAGAGGUUGGCGGAAUUCCGAGUGUAGCGAUGAAAUGCGUAGAUAUUAGGAGGAACACCAGUGGCGAAGGCGGCCUACUGGACGGUGACUGACGCUGAGGCUCGAAAGCGUGGGGAGCAAACAGGAUUAGAUACCCGGGUAGUC
rnacentral:rRNA from 1 species